GACGAACGCUGGCGGCGUGCUUAACACAUGCAAGUCGAACGGAAAGGCCCUGCUUGCAGGGUGCUCGAGUGGCGAACGGGUGAGUAACACGUGGGUGAUCUGCCCCUUAUUUUGGGAUAAGCCUGGGAAACUGGGUCUAAUACUGGAUAGGACCAUGCUGUAGGUGGUGUGGUGGAAAGAUUAGUUUCGGUAAGGGAUGAGCUCGCGGCCUAUCAGCUUGUUGGUGGGGUAAUGGCCUACCAAGGCGUCGACGGGUAGCCGGCCUGAGAGGGUGGACGGCCACAUUGGGACUGAGAUACGGCCCAGACUCCUACAGGAGGCAGCAGUGGGGAAUAUUGCACAAUGGGCGCAAGCCUGAUGCAGCGACGCCGCGUGGGGGAUGACGGCCUUCGGGUUGUAAACUCCUUUCAGCCAUGACGAAGCCCUUGUGGUGACGGUAGUGGUAGAAGAAGCACCGGCUAACUACGUG
rnacentral:rRNA from 1 species